rnacentral:rRNA from 1 species
AUUGAACGCUGGCGGCAGGCUUAACACAUGCAAGUCGAGCGAGUGGCGGACGGGUGAGUAAUGUCUGGGAAACUGCAUGAUGGAGGGGGAUAACUACUGGAAACGGUAGCUAAUACCGCAUACCAUCAGAUGUGCCCAGAUGGGAUUAGCUAGUAGGUGGGGUAAUGGCUCACCUAGGCGACGAGACCUAGCUGGUCUGAGAGGAUGACCAGACACACUGGAACUGAGACACGGGCCAGACGCCUACGGGAGGCAGCGGUGGGGAAUAUUGCACAAUGGGCUCAAGCCUGAUGCAGCCAUGCCGCGUGUGUGAAGAAGGCCUUCGGGUUGUAAAGCACUUUCAGCGAGGAGGCGUUACUCGCAGAAGAAGCACCGGCUAACUCCGUGCCAGCAGCCGCGGUAAUUC